rnacentral:rRNA from 1 species
AUUGAACGCUGGCGGCAUGCCUUACACAUGCAAGUCGCACGGUAACAGGUCUUCGGAUGCUGACAAGUGGCGAACGGGUGAGUAAUACAUCGGAACGUGCCUAGUAGUGGGGGAUAACUACUCGAAAUAGUGGCUAAUACCGCAUGAGAUUUACGGAUGAAAGCAGGGGAACGCAAGACCUUGUGCUACUAGAGCGGCCGAUGGCCACUUAGGUAGUUGGUGGGAUACAAGACUACCAAGCCGACGAUCUGUAGCUGGUCUGAGAGGACGACCAGCCACACUGGGACUGAGAAGCGGCCCAGACUCCUACGAGAGGCAGCAGUGUGGAAUUUUGGACAAUGGGCGCAAGCCUGAUCCAGCAAUGCCGCGUGCAGGAUGAAGGCCUUCGGGUUGUAAACUGCUUUUGUACGGAACGAAAAGCCCCGGGUUAAUACCCUGGGGUCAUGACGGUACCGUAAGAAUAAGCACCGGCUAACUACGUGCCAGCAGCCGCCGCAG